CCCCUACGGGGCGCAGCAGUAGGGAAUCUUCCACAAUGGACGAAAGUCUGAUGGAGCAACGCCGCGUGAGUGAAGAAGGGUUUCGGCUCGUAAAGCUCUGUUGGGAGUGAGGAAAGAUAGAGGCAGUAACUGGCCUUUAUUUGACGGUAAUUACUUAGAAAGUCACGGCUAACUACGUGCCAGCAGCCGCGUUAAUACGUAGGUGGCAAGCGUUGUCCGUAUUUCUUGGGCGUAAAGCG
rnacentral:rRNA from 1 species